GUGAUUGGAAUGAGUACACUUUAAAUCCUUUAACGAGGACCUAUUGGAGGGCAAGUCUGGUGCCAGCAGCCGCGGUAACUCCAGCUCCAAUAGCGUAUAUUAAAGUUGUUGCGGUUAAAAAGCUCGUAGUUGGAUUCCGGUCGCGGUCGGGCGGUGCCGCCAUCUGGUGAUGCACUGCCUAGGCCGGACAAUCAGCCGGACUGUCCGGGGUGCUCUUAACCGGGUGUCCUGGGUGGCCGGUACGUUUACUUUGAACAAAUUAGAGUGCUCAAAGCAGGUGCAUUGCGCCUGAAUAUCACAGCAUGGAAUGAUGGAAUAGGACCUCGGUCUUAUUUUGUUGGUUUUCUGGACCCGAGGUAAUGGUUAAUAGAGACAGAC
rnacentral:rRNA from 1 species